CCUACGGGGGGCAGCAGUGGGGAAUAUUGCACAAUGGGGGAAACCCUGAUGCAGCGACGCCGCGUGAGUGAGGAAGUAUUUCGGUAUGUAAAGCUCCAUCAGCAGGGAAGAAAAUGACGGUACCUGACUAAGAAGCCCCGGCUAACUACGUGCCAGCAGCCGCGGUAAUGCGUAGGGGGCAAGCGUUAUCCGGAUUUACUGGGUGGAAAGGGAGCGUAGACGGCUGUGCAAGUCUGGAGUGAAAGGCGGGGGCCCAACCCCCGGACUGCUCUGGAAACUGUAUGGC
rnacentral:rRNA from 1 species